rnacentral:rRNA from 1 species
GACGAACGCUGGCGGCGUGCUUAACACAUGCAAGUCGAACGGAAAGGCCCUGCUUUUGUGGGGUGCUCGAGUGGCGAACGGGUGAGUAACACGUGAGUAACCUGCCCUUGACUUUGGGAUAACUUCAGGAAACUGGGGCUAAUACCGGAUAGGAGCUCCUGCUGCAUGGUGGGGGUUGGAAAGUUUCGGCGGUUGGGGAUGGACUCGCGGCUUAUCAGCUUGUUGGUGGGGUAGUGGCUUACCAAGGCUUUGACGGGUAGCCGGCCUGAGAGGGUGACCGGCCACAUUGGGACUGAGAUAAGGCCCAGACUCCUACGGGAGGCAGCAGUGGAGAAUAUUGCACAAUGGGCGGAAGCCUGAUGCAGCAACGCCGCGUGCGGGAUGACGGCCUUCGGGUUGUAAACCGCUUUCGCCUGUGACGAAGCGUGAGCGACGGUAAUGGGUAAAGAAGCACCGGCUAACUACGUG